GGGGGAUCUUCCGCAAUGGACGAAAGUCUGACGGAGCAACGCCGCGUGAGUGAUGACGGCCUUCGGGUUGUAAAGCUCUGUUAAUCGGGACGAAUGGUUCUUGUGCGAAUAGUGCGAGGAUUUGACGGUACCGGAAUAGAAAGCCACGGCUAACUACGUGCCAGCAGCCGCGGUAAUACGUAGGUGGCAAGCGUUGUCCGGAAUUAUUGGGCGUAAAGCGCGCGCAGGCGGAUUGGUCAGUCUGUCUUAAAAGUUCGGGGCUUAACCCCGUGAUGGGAUGGAAACUGCCAAUCUAGAGUAUCGGAGAGGAAAGUGGAAUUCCUAGUGUAGCGGUGAAAUGCGUAGAUAUUAGGAAGAACACCAGUGGCGAAGGCGACUUUCUGGACGAAAACUGACGCUGAGGCGCGAAAGCCAGGGGAGCGAACGGGAUUAGAUACCCCGGUAGUCCUGGCCGUAAACGAUGGGUACUAGGUGUAGGAGGUAUCGACCCCUUCUGUGCCGGAGUUAACGCAAUAAGUACCCCGCCUGGGGAGUACGACCGCAAGGUUG
rnacentral:rRNA from 1 species